UCCAUUCCCUUUGUUCUGGAGUUGGUUGGGGAUUUUGGCCACCUAGCAACAUUCAAUUGAAUAUCAAAGAUAUAAAUCAGUGGAUUUGGCUUCAUACCACUCAUGUUUCAGAUCUAUACCGACAAACUUUUAGGUUAAAUAAAUAUGUUGAAUCCUUGUUGGAUGUUAGUCAACCUAUUGUCCUCUACACGCUGAUCAUGAUGAAGAUAUGAAAAGGAUAAGGUACCCUUAUGAACACAAAUAUGUUUCGUUUUCCUCUAAAGAAACUGUGCAGUCCCCACACUAUUUUUUUAUUUGUAGUUGUGAACAUUAUGUUAGGAUCUCCCGUUUCAUAUAUGCUUUGUUAUUCAUCAUAUUUUUACUUUAGACAUCUUUCAAAACAAAAUCAUGAACACCUAUUUCUUAGUGGUUGGUGUAAGCCAUUCAUAUUACAGUUCAACAUCUGAUAUGUUUGUUGCAUUUUCAUCUCCACGUAAAUAGCCACUUGACUUUACCAAGUGAUCACACAUAUAUUAAUUCGUAAUUCAGGACUUUUAAAUCUACAGUAGGCUAAGGAUAUUUAAGGUGCUACCCCAUAAGUACUACUUCACUGUUGAGCUACCUUAUGCGUUGCAGAGUUAUCUUUUUAAGGCGUGACACUCCAAAUCAUUUUCUAAUUUGACAUUUACAAUGAUUUGUUAUUUCACUAUUGUUGUCACCUCCAUGAUAAUCAUUGGCACCUAAAUCUAGCAAAUAAUCACCAGUUAUGUUUGGUGCAUUAUUUGUGCAUCACCAGGUGUAAACGGUUCAGUACAUCAAUUCAAUGGUUUUUUUUAUAUUCAUAUGUACAUUUGUAUCAAAUGUGCACCUUUUUUGGUUGUCUAGAUUCAUUCGAUUAUUUGUGUUUUCUUCUUUCUAAUUUGCUGGUUGUAACAACCCAAUAUUUGCAAAAUAAGUAGUAAAGUAAGUGAUUUAACCUUCAUCUUUCCAGUGCUUUAGAAUAAUAUGAAAUCUCUAAGUUAUGUUCCCCUUUUACUCUAGGUAACAUUAAGUAAAUCUUGUAAUGACAUAAUGUAGAGAAUCGCCUCAGCGAGCGCGUUCUCCUUUGCCAAUAGGCCAUUGCCAAUCUAGGUGCCAUAAACUUUCUGACCAAGUUUCUUUUUGUUUAUUACCCACUCUUGGUAAUUUUUUGCUCUUACACUUGCAAUAUUCUUUCAUUAUUUUCUAAUCAAUCUAUGCUGAGAAUAAUUGUAAAAAACAAAGGUUGGCUGAGUUUUUGCCCCGCUUUGCUACAUGAUGUCUUCUUGAUUCUCCCAAGUCUGAUGUCAUGCGUUUAAAUAUCUUUGUAGAGAAUAGUACUUUAUCUAUUGCUCUAUGAUAUAACUACAGGCUUUCUUACUUUUUAUCAUCAAUUUUGUCCCCUAAGAGAUGACAUAACUAAUCUGGUAGGGCUCUUGGUUCCAUUUUGUGCCUUGGUCUUUGGUGAGCAUACUAAAAGUUGAGGGAUCUCAUGGUCAAACAAGUGGAAUGAGCGUGUGCUUUUCUCAACACUAAAAGACUACAAAAGCUGAUGAUCACCUCUCAAGUUCCUCCCACAUUUUAAUUUUAGUUGGAAAUCUUCUGAUGACAAGUGCUCAGUUGCAAGAUAUUUUUGUGGCACCUCCUUCAAAGGAAAAGUUAACACUCAAAAUUUUCUCCAUUGUAAAAGUUUCUAGCGGCUAGUUUAGAUAUGUGCCUUGCAAAGUAAAUUAUUUCCUAGAAACUGACAAGGUGCAUUUGGAAAGUAUAUUGCACCAAAAUUGUUUAUUGUACUUUAAAACUUAGCACCUACACGUCAUUAGGAGAGUGAAAAGUAAAUUGACAUCUCUAUGGAACUCAUCACAUUAUUCCAUGUGACCAAAACAGUACCAUGAUCAUCACAAUUAUAAAUUUAUGUAAUUGUUAAUGUUUAUUUUUAACCACAUCUUUCUUUAGCAUCGCACGGGGAAUCAUCUGGUUCAUAUAUUUCCUAAGAACAUUAAUAAUCCUCCUAUAAAAAGGGACAAUGAUCUUAAAAUGGUUAGAGUGCAUCCCAACUUUGCAAACUUGAUAAAAGAUCCUAUUUUCAAGUCUUCUAUGGUUUCUACUAUUCGUGGUUGUGUUAUUGAAGAGCUUGAUGUAAAGGAUGACAACACUUGAUCAUAUGAAUUUUGCCUAGCUAGGGUCAUGAAACAAUAGCGCUUGUUGUGAGGCAACCCAAUAGUUAUCUUAUUUUUUGCUUUUACCUUCGGUUUUGCUGUGAUGACAUCAUUAUUGCCAUUGUAAUGAUUGUGUUCUUAUGUUUAAAUUAGUGUUUGUGCCAAGUAAAGCCCUUGGGAUGACUUGUAUGAUAAUUACAAUUGGUAUGGUGCAAAAACACAAACUAUAACGUCAAGUGCAAAAUUUCUCUGAUUUUACCAUAAUGUAUUUUUAAGCUGAUUUCUUUACAAACUAUUGUUAUACUAAUUCCUCAGCUUGUUUGAUUUUUUCAGAACUUUUGGAGUUACAAAAGUAUAUGUUCAUUACAUAUUACUAUAGACUAUUCUAUUCUAGAAGUAUUAUGUUUUUGCUUGCAUAGUUUGCUUGGUUUGAUGAUGCUAUGGAUUGUACCGGGGUAUAAUCUAUAGAGAAGUUAGAAUACAAUAACUAUUAUUGAAUAAUGAAAUAUUAAUCAAUUUACAACAGCACCUAAGUAUUUGAUAUGUUGCUUAUAUUAACGGAUCUCUUGAAGUUUUGUGGAGUUUGAUGUGAUUGAAGCUUUGAAGUUUUGGGUGUUAUCGCAAUGGACAGUGGAAUAAGGAGCGGAAAAGGCUAAGCUUGGGGAUUCCCAAGGAACCCAAGGUGGCACAUCUAUAAGUACCCAGAUUAUGGCAUGCUGAUAUUACGGUGAUAUUAAUACAUUGGAAAAUCUGGAAAGAACGCAAUGUCAGGAUAUUAUUAACACAGAGUUUGUUGUUGACAGGGUGUUGGAAUCUGUCAUUGAAGAUGUUCAAUCAUGGAGAGCUGUAGGCUGCUUGUCUUCUUUAUGAAUCAUGUUCCUGUUGUUUUCUCCUUGCUGGGAGUGUAUUAGGAGAGUCGUGUAAUCAGAUGCUCUGUGAGGCUAUGUAUAGAGUUUCAGCUACGUUUUCUUGAGUGGCAACCAUGUAAUUUCCAAACUCAUUUUCUUAGAGAUGGUCCUGUACAUUCGUCUCCCAAUUUUUUAAAUAAAGUUCAGCCUCAGGACCUUCGAGAUAA